rnacentral:rRNA from 1 species
AUCAACGCUGGCGGCGUGCCUAACACAUGCAAGUCGAACGCGAAAGCCCCUUCGGGGGUAAGUAGAGUGGCGUCCGGGUGAGUAACACGUAGGUAAUCUACCUUCGGGUGGGGAAUAACCAGUCGAAGAUUGGCUAAUACCGCAUAAUGCAGCGGCACCUAAUGGUGAUUAGUUGUUAAAGCGGGGGAUCGUAAGACCUCGCGCCUGAAGAGGAGCCUGCGGCAGAUUAGCUAGUUGGGAGGUAAUGGCUCACCAAGGCUUCGAUCUGUAGCUGGUCUGAGAGGACGGCCAGCCACACUGGCACUGACACACGGGCCAGACUCCUACGGGAGGCAGCAGUGGGGAAUUUUGGGCAAUGGGCGAAAGCCUGACCCAGCAACGCCGCGUGAGGGA